rnacentral:lncRNA from 10 species
UUCUUUCUUCCUUCCUUCCUUCCUUCCUUCACUUGUUUCUCUCCCUUUCCUUUCCUUCCCUUUCCUUUCUUCUCUCUCCCUCUCUUUCUUUCUUUCUUCUUUUUUUUUUAGAAGAAAAGAGGCCAGGCAUGGUGGCUCACGCCUGUAAUCCCAGCAUUUUGGGAGGCCAAGGCUGGUGGAUCACUUGAGGUCAGGAGUUCAAGACCAGCCUGGGCAACAUGGUGAGACCUUGUCUCUAAAAAAUAUAAAAAUUAGCCAGUUGUGGGGGUGUGUUCCUGUGGUCCCAGCUACUUGGGAGGCUGAGGUGAGAGGAUCACCUGAGCCACAGAGGUCAAGGCUGCAGUGAGCCAUGAUCAUGUCACCGCACUCCAGCCUGGGAAACAGAAUGAGACCCAAGAAAAGAAAAGGGGAGGGGAGGGAGAAAGGGAGGGGAGGGAGAAGGGGAGGGGAGGGAGAAGGGGAGGGGAGGGAGAAGGGGAGGGGAGAGGAGGAGAAAGGGAGCAGAGGGGAGAGGAGGAGAAAGGGAGGGGAGGGUAGAGGAGAGAGAGCCAGCAGUAAGGUCAUAAUAGGGACAUGUAUCUGUAAGAUCCUUAUAAUAGGUAAGGCUGGCCACAAAUGAGCACCACAGUUUUCGCAGAAGAAGCACUGCACUGCAGACCCUCCACGGUUCUGUUUUUUUUUUUUUGAGACAGUCUCACUCUGUCACCCAGGCUGGAGUGCAGUCACGCCAUCUCGGCUCACUGCAAGCUCCGCCUCCUGGGUUCAAGCGAUUCUUCUGCAUCAGCCUCUCAAGUAGCUAGGACUACAGGUGCGUGCCACCAAGCCUGGCUAAUGUUUGUAUUUUUAGUAGAGAUGGGGUUUCACCAUAUUGGCCAGGCUGGUCUCGAACUCCUGACCUCAUGAUCUGCCCGCCUCAGCCUCUCAAAGUGCUGGGAUUACAGGUGUGAGACACCGCACCCGGCCCUUCCACAGGAUUUAAAGCAAGGCUUUCCCAUUCUCUCUGGCAGGUGGCACAGCCAUGUAAUUGGGGCUGCCAUUCUCAAUUACUCCACCAUGAAUGGAGUCUGUUAUUAUCAGCCAAGCACACAUCUGAUAAUCAAGGGAUAGAUGCCCCUCAUCAUUUUUACAACUCAUGGCAGAGAGAUGAAAACAGUCAUGUUUUCAAACUGAUGUAUACGUGUGACAGAGGUUGCUGUCAGGGUGAGGCUCUCUGUGUGGUGUGAAUUCUGUACUCACAUUGAAGAAAUCUAAGCCCUAAUAAACACAAAGAAGCAAAACGCCAAGAAAAUCUGCACAGGAACAGUUUGUGCAGGAGCCUCUCAGUUUGGCCAUAAAGAUGCAGUGCUCUGAAGCCAGAUGAGUAGCUGGGGCAAGAGAUGAUGCUGAGUGUGCGACCAUUGAUUCCACACCUAUGAUGGCCAUCUGCAGAAUGGCUAAGGAGCGACCUGCCCCUUUUCCCCAGGCCUAAUGCGGCUUUGCUUUCUAAAGCUUCCUGGUCUCAAGCUGCCUGGGAGUCCAGGCAUGAAGGCUGAUGAAGCAUGAUGCAUGGCCAUCCCAUCCAGCAGUUUCCUUGCAUGGACUUGGUCAUCUGAAUCACAGGGACUAAGAUGUGCUGCAGAAAGAAGUUACUGAACGCUAUUCCACAUGUGGCAGAUGGGAUCUUUAAGAGGGAGCACUGAGGAAGUGGAUAUAAGCCCAAGUUCAUAUUCCAAAGCCACAGGCAUGCUGCGGCAAAGCCGUGACUAUUCUGAGACUGCUCAUGGCCGGGCCCUGCAAUGGCCGGGCAACAGCUCUAGCAGAGUCCCCACUGCUGCCCCAUCCGAGGACGGCUUGAGUGGACAGAUGGCUCGGGAUGUGCCAUUUCUGAACCCAGUUCAAUAGGAGGGUGUUUAAAACAAGAGGGACAUUUGAACCAUGUUCUCCUCUUCCUUAAAGCUGAGCACUCUGCUCUCUCCUUUACUGGGGAUCCUCAAGUGUGAUCUAGACCUUGGGUCUCACAUUGUGUAUGAUACGUGUGCAGAGGGAGGCCUCGGAUUCACCAAGCAGCACUAAGCAUCUCUUCCACAAAUCAAAUGGGCCAUUUCUUAAACCUUGCUUUUGUCAGGGUCAUGCUUUGGCAACUGUGGGUUUACCAAAGCUAAGCCUUUCAAAGACCACUGACAAAAAUUCUGUCUCCAGGGGAGAACAGAAUAGUCACCUUCCUGGAGUCCUAGAACUUGAUGUCAAAAGAAACAACAGGGAACCUUUACAGUAUCUAUUCCUCAGCUCUGGUACAUGAUUACAUCUCAACCCUCCUGAUGAGAAUAUCAUUCUCUUCCCUUUGAAGAAGCCCUAUUUAAUUGUGCUUUUAUUUGAGGGCAACUUUAACCAACGGGAGCUGUAAGGAUUAUUACACAGAUGAAUAAAAUACUCUCUUUGGCCUCUGGGGAGUUUGGAGUCCAGUGAGGGAUAUAGGCAGAACCAAACAGAAACAC